ensembl:misc_RNA Metazoa_SRP Metazoan signal recognition particle RNA
GCUGGGUGUGGUGGUGUACGCCUAUAAUCCCAACUACUUGGGAAGCUGAGGCAUGAGAAUUGCUUGAACCCAGGAGGCAGAGGUUGCAGUGAGCCAAGAUUGUGCCACUGCACUCCAGCCUGGGCAACAGAGCAAGACCUUGUCUCAA